GUGACCUCCUCCCUGUUGAGGAUCAGCGUGGCAGGUAGCCUAGUGGUUAGAGGGUUGGGCCAGUAACCAAGAGGUUGUUGUCCUGGCACCUCACGGCCAGGUCUGUGACCUCCUCCCUGUUGAGGAUCAGCGUGGCAGGUAGCCUAGUGGUUAGAGGGUUGGGCCAGUAACCAAGAGGUUGUUGUCCUGGCACCUCACGGCCAGGUCUGUGACCUCCUCCCUGUUGAGGAUCAGCGUGGCAGGUAGCCUAGUGGUUAGAGGGUUGGGCCAGUAACCAAGAGGUUGUUGUCCUGGCACCUCACGGCCAGGUCUGUGACCUCCUCCCUGUUGAGGAUCAGCGUGGCAGGUAGCCUAGUGGUUAGAGGGUUGGGCCAGUAACCAAGAGGUUGUUGUCCUGGCACCUCACGGCCAGGUCUGUGACCUCCUCCCUGUUGAGGAUCAGCGUGGCAGGUAGCCUAGUGGUUAGAGGGUUGGGCCAGUAACCAAGAG